UGGGGAAGCAGCGUGGCAAGGUCUGCAGCGUGGCAAGGAGUAAACCAGGUCGGUUGUGAGCCCCUGUCGACGAGGACCAGGGAGGACUGUCCCUCCAGCAUAAAGGCCGCCUGGUGGAUCUUCCCGCUCUCUGUCCCCGGUUCCUCCUGCUCCGGUUGAGAUCUGCUUCGAUAUGGACUAUCGUCAACAACGGUUAUCCCGUUUCUUGGGCUAGUCACUCCAAGUGGUCUCCUCAGCAUCGCCCCCUUCAGGCAUAAGACCCGGCCACCGUUCCGAUGACUAACUAUGGCUAAGGGACAUCCCCCGGACCCUCUUCUGCUCCUCUCUGCCGUAGAAAGACCGCUGUGCCUGCUCUACCGUCUUCCUGAAAGUCACCUGGCCACUCACCAGCGGGAACACCUGCAUCGAACACUGGCUGAGGAGUCCUCCUUCAGCGCCAUCAACCGGGAGGCUGCUGUAAGCGUUCUUCAUCGCAUGCGGACAGAGGCGCUCCGCGAGCUCCUGCGCGACGCGCUACGCCAGCCCCUUGAACCGCCCGGCGUCCCGCCUUGGAUUUUCGAGGAAGAAUUCCUCAUGGAGUUUCCUUCUCACGAGGACCUCCGAACUUUUGUGUAAUAAACUUGAAGGGGAGAUGUGGGGGCGCUGGCUGUUCUGUUAGGUAUUUAAGGGGGAGACAGACAGCAGGGAGCUUGAUCUCAGGCAGCUCUUUUGGGGAAGUGGUCUGCAGCAUGGCAAGGAAUAAAUCAGGUAGUUUGGGA